UAAAGUCGACAGUUCUAAUAUAAAAAUGUUAAGAUCUUAAUUAAUUCUGAGUUGUAGAUUAUUUAAUUUUGUCAAUAAUAUCGUGUAGAUUUUAUUCGCUCACAUUCAUAACUAUGCGUGCAUGUGGUAUAACGAUCUGUCAAUUGUUAUUGCUUUUCUCAAAUAACUUUUUAUUUUCUAUCUAUUAACUUCCCAAUUUAGCUGAUUUUAUUUUUUUAUUUUUUAAUAUAUUAAUGCUAGGAAACCUAUUAUAAAUUUUCUACCGGUUUUGCCAUUUUAGGUAAAGUAUGAAGUAUUAAAUAUAUAUAUUAAAACAAUUAGAUCAUAGUAAUCAAAUUAAUUAUUAACAACGAAUCUUAAUAUUAUAUACUCAAAUUGCAUAAUAUUCAUAUUCCUUUAUCUUCAUAAAAAAUUUAAUGAUCAUUUAAAAUUCCACCUAAAAAAUGAUCAUUUAGUAAAUUGUUAGUACAUUGUUAGUAUCUUAAAUAUGACUUAAAAUUUGUUAUUGCUCCAUAUCUUGAUUGCUAUAUUCUGAUUGCUGUGAUACUUUAAAAACAAAAAGUAAAGUUUCCUGGAAAUGUAAAAAUCAAUACGAGCUAAUUUCAGAAAAUCAGUAACAUUUACAAAUUGAUAUAUAUCGUUCACGCAUAGUUAUAGAUUUGAACGCUCAAAAUUCGUAAAUUAUAAUCACUUAUAGUUAAAAAAUACUGUACGCUUGAUAUUUUUCUAUUAAAAUAUUCGCGAUUAUAUAACUGAUUUCCAGAAUAUGUUAUUCUGGAUAUGUUAUUAAAGUAUUGUAUGAUAGUUCUGGCCUUAUAGAAAUAUCAUACUAAGAAUCAUUGAUAAUUACUUAUUAUUCAGUAUUUUUAAUACUGAAAAUAAGUAAUUAUCAAUGAUUCUUAGUAUGAUAUUUCUAUAAGGGUGGACAACUUGUAUAUAAGUUUUAUUAAAAUAUUACUUACAUACUUAAUAAAAUUACAUUUUUUUCAUUACAUUUAGAAAGCAUAGAAUUAGACAGUAUUGCAGUAACAGAACAAGUAGAGCAUAAGUUCGUAGAGAAACAGUAUAACAAAGAUAUCAAUGAUGAUGACCAAUCAGACAGAACUUACGAACCAUCAGAAGGUUCAAUUACGGAUACAGAAUAUGAGAGCAAUGACGAAAUAAACGAAAAUGUACCAAAUGCAUCUAACAGUAGCUUAAAUAUAUCAACUAAAUUUAAUUUGUCGUCAACGGCAAAUGCAACGGGCACGUCAGGAUGUGAUGACGCACUACUUACAAUUGAUAAUUCUUGUAGCGGCACAAAAAAAUAUUAUUGUCUUUAUUGUAAGUUACCAAAAUCGAAAAUUGCAAGACAUUUAGAAAGUGUACACCGUAAUGAAAAAGAUGUCAAGAAAUUCGCUGAAUUACCAAAAGGAUCUUUUGAACGUAAAAAAAUAAUAGAAACAAUACGACGGAAAGGAGAAUUUGAAUUUAAUACAAACAAGAUGUUGAAUAAUGGCAAGUUACAUGUCGUUAGACGACCGAACCAGAAGUGGUUUAUUAAAAAUGCUAAUGAAUAUGGAGUAUGUGUCAAAUGUUACGGAUUUUUUUCAAAAAAUACUUUACGAAAUCAUGUUCGAAAAUGUUUAAAUUUUAAAUAUUCUAAAAAUCGAACAAUAACAGUUUUGGGACGAACUAUUCUUGGAAGAAUUAACGAAGUAGCUUCCAAAACUCUAAAAAAAGUCAUUUUUCCGGUAUUAAGAGAAGAUUCUAUUACGCGUCUUAUCAGAUACGACGAAUUAAUUAUUCGAUAUGGUAACAAACUUUGUAUGAAGUAUAAGCCACAGCACCAGCACGACAUGGUGCGAAAUCGAUUACGAACAGUUGGACGAUUUUUAAAAGCUUUAAAAGAAAUAAAUAACAAAAUUACAGAUUUUGCCUCAUUAUAUGAGCCACAAUAUUACGAAGAUUGUAUUAAAGUAGUAUAUGAAGUAGCUCGAUACAAUCCAGAAACUCAAAAGUUCGGUGCAGCUUCUACAGCGUUUCAAUUAGGUACAUUAUUAAAAGAAGUUGGAGAAUUGUGGAAAUCACAAUGUAUUAAAAAUCAUGAUCCCAUUAAAAAAGCUUUAGUUGAAGAUUUCCUUUCACUUCGUAAAGAAGAUUAUAGUCAUUCAGUUAAUAAAACAGUAAUGGAAACAAGAGCACAUAUUACACGACAAAAAGUGGAAAUAGCUCCAAGUAUAAACGAUAUAAGGAAGCUUUAUGAUUAUGUAAACAAUAAGAGACGUGAAGCAUAUAAUCUUUUAAAGAAAGAAUUUUCUUACAAUGUAUGGCAAUCUCUGGGUGAAUGCACAUUAAUUUCUAUGCAAAUAUAUAAUAGAAAACGUGCAGGUGAAAUGCAACGAAUAUUAUUGGAAGAUUUUUAUACUUAUGAAGGUUUAAAUGAACAAAGUGAUCCAGAUCUUUUUAAAUCUCUUUCGAAUCCAGCAAAAGAAAUCGCACGUAAAUAUAUACGAUUUCAAAUAAGAGGAAAAUUAGGUCGUCCUGUUCCUGUUUUAUUAAAUUUUGACUUUUAAAUUGUGUAAAAUUAUUUAUACAGUGCCGAAACAAUGCUAAUGUACACCAAAAAAUCCAUAUGUUUUUGGUAUAGAAGGAUUUCACAAACAAAGAUUUAAAUACCUAAGAGCAUGUGACAAUAUGAGAAAAUUUGCUCACGAAUGUGGAGCAACUCAUCCUGAAAGAUUAAGAGGCACUCUUCUUAGAAAACAUAUCGCAACUAAUUGCCAUAAAUUAAAAUUAACAGAACAUGAAGUAUCCGAAUUAGCAAACUUUAUGGGUCACAAAGAAAACAUACAUAAACAAUACUACAGGUUACCUCAGAAAGAGAAUGAUAUUCUUAAUAUUAGUAAAUAUCUGGAAGCUGCACUUGGUACAUGUGACAAUUCUGAAGACGAUACUAAUAGUGACGAUGAUGACGAUACUAAUACUGAUAAUAUUGAAUUGUAUAGCAUUAUUGCUGAUGAUCUUAGUAAUAGUAAUACUACUAAUAAUAACAGUAAUACUACUAUUAAUAACAGUAAUACUACUAUUAAUAACAAUAUUACGCAAGGUAUAAAAUAGUAAUCUCACAACUUCAUUGUUCUUAAAUUUUAAGGAUAUAAACUAAAAGGCAAACUCAUGUAUAAUCAAAAAUAUAAAAUUAUUUACAGAAUCUGACAGCAUUUGCGCCGCAAAAAAAAGAAAAACUACCACAAAAAAUAAAAACAAAUUAUGUAACAAAGAUAAAGUAAAGACGAAGUACAAACAUACGCGUUGGACUGAUGAGGAAAAAAAUAUAGUGCUGAACAAAUUUAGCACUUAUUUAAAUACGUAUAAAUAUCCUUUGAAUAAAGAGAUUACAGCUUUAAUAGGAGAUAAUUCUUGUUUGCAAACACGAACUGUACGCCAAGUAAAGACCUGGCUCAAUAAUCAGCAAAAGAUUUUACGUAAUAAUAUUUAAAUGUUAUGCUAUGCUUUAUUUUUUAUUUUAUUUCAUUAUAAGCUUUUACAUUUUUGUUAUUUCAUCAAAUAUUUGCAAAGUGUACAAAAUUUUUUUAAGAUGCUAAGCUGUUGUUUAAAACAUUGUACACUUACAUAUUAGUACAAUAGUAUAAGUAUAUUUUUUUAGUAUUAGUUGAAAUUACUUAAAAAAGAAAAUAUUUUGUUACUUUCGUUCAUAUAAUUUAUAUAAUUGAAGAAAAAUAUUUUAUCAUUUUUAUUUAUAUAUUUUGUAUAUGUAUAUACUAUGUUUAAUUGAAGGAACGUUUUGUUUGUACUUAUGUUAUAAAUAUAACAUAACUUGUUAACUAUGAAAUAAAAGAAAAAUAUACGUAUUGUGAAAAUAUAAUGUUGCUUUAUUAUAAUACAUAAUUGUGAUCAUUAUAACAUAUGAAUAUUAUAACUAGGAUUCGUAUAUUAAAGGAUUCUUCACUAUAGCAGAUUUAUGUAUUGAAGGGUUCCUCACUAUAACAGUAUUGAAGGGUUCCUCAUUAUAGCCGAUUCUUAUUAGCGGUUAAGCACAAAAAAAUAUAAGCAUCUUUAAAAAUUGAAGUUAGUAAGCGCUAGU